GACGAACGCUGGCGGCGUGCCUAAUACAUGCAAGUAGAACGCUGAAGGAGGAGCUUGCUCUUCUGGAUGAGUUGCGAACGGGUGAGUAACGCGUAGGUAACCUGCCUGGUAGCGGGGGAUAACUAUUGGAAACGAUAGCUAAUACCGCAUAAGAGUAGAUGUUGCAUGACAUUUGCUUAAAAGGUGCAAUUGCAUCACUACCAGAUGGACCUGCGUUGUAUUAGCUAGUUGGUGGGGUAACGGCUCACCAAGGCGACGAUACAUAGCCGACCUGAGAGGGUGCUCGGCCACACUGGGACUGAGACACGGCCCAGACUCCUACGGGAGGCAGCAGUAGGGAAUCUUCGGCAAUGGACGGAAGUCUGACCGAGCAACGCCGCGUGAGUGCAGAAGGUUUUCGGAUCGUAAAGCUCGGUUGUAAGAGAAGAACGAGUGUGAGAGUGGAAAGUUCACACUGUGACGGUAUCUUACCAGAAAGGGACGGCUAACUACGUG
rnacentral:rRNA from 1 species